CUUCAUUGAAAACCAGCCAAAUUUUCAUGUUCUAAGUGAAGAUCAUUUGAAGUACUAUCCAAACUUAGAAAAACUAACCAUCCAAAGUAGUGGUCUGCAUACAAUCACUCCUAAUGCAUUUCAGUUUACCAAAAGAUUAAGAGAAAUCCAUAUUCGCCAGAACAACUUAACUAUAUUACCAUGGAAACUUUUUAAAGGCCUCAAACUUGUUGAAUUGUCAAUCGAUGGAAAUCCUAUUGUCUGUAAUUGUAGCGCAAAAUGGCUGCAGAAGACAGCUCUGUCAGACAAGAAGAUCCUGGGGCAUUUAUGGGAUCAAGUGACAUGCAUUGAUCCCGGAAAUGGAGCAGUCCGCACUCUAAUGAAUGUUACUU